UACGAAGGGGGGCUAGCGUUGUUCGGAAUUACUGGGCGUAAAGCGCGCGUAGGCGGACUGGCAAGUCGGGGGUGAAAUGCCGAGGCUCAACCUCGGAACUGCCUUCGAUACUGCCAGUCUUGAGGUCGGGAGAGGUGAGUGGAACUCCGAGUGUAGAGGUGAAAUUCGUAGAUAUUCGGAAGAACACCAGUGGCGAAGGCGGCUCACUGGCCCGAUUCGUGACGCUGAGGCGGCGAAAAGCGUGGGGAGCAAA
rnacentral:rRNA from 1 species